rnacentral:rRNA from 1 species
UACGUAGGGGGCAAGCGUUGUCCGGAUUUAUUGGGCGUAAAGAGCGUGUAGGCGGCCGUACAGGUCAGCUGUGAAAACUCGAGGCUCAACCUCGAGACGUCGGUUGAAACCGUACGGCUAGAGUCCGGAAGAGGAGAGUGGAAUUCCCGGUGUAGCGGUGAAAUGCGCAGAUAUCGGGAAGAACACCCGUGGCGAAGGCGGCUCUCUGGGACGGUACUGACGUUGAGACGCGAAAGCGUGGGGAGCGAACAGG